UAUUUCUAAGAUGACUCCAUGAAAUUCAAGCUCAACAGACCGGAAUGCAGUGUUUUUUUCUCUCUCUUGAGAUUGCUUUGCGUGUUAAACACCCUGCUAACCUGACCGAUC